GGAAUGGUACGGUACUUCCAUUGUCAUGUGUAUGUUGGGGAUUAAACCCUGAUUGAGUUCAGCCCACAUACUUUGUUGAUUGGUUGUCAAUCAUGGCAAAAGUGCACGCUACUUUCC
rnacentral:misc_RNA from 1 species